ACUUCGGCGCUGGCACCAGUGCCAGAGACGGCAGCGCGCAAACAGCCUUAAACCGCUUGAGGCCGGUUCAAACUAGAAUCGGUGGACCGUUCGUUCGAUCCGGACAGGCCCGUCCCGGCUGAGUUCAGUUCGGUUCGGUUCGGUUAAGUUCGGUUGGGUUGGGUUGAGUUAAGUUGGCUUCGUCCAAGCUGGCUUGGCUUGGCUUGAGUUGGUUAUCGUCUUUAACUGCACCUGACAAAGAAAUUCCCCAGGUCAAAAACGACUUUAAGACUUUACUAAGGAAGCGCAAUGGUUGACCCAAAUACGAUUAUUGCCAGCCCAGCACAUUGUAUAUACGAGUAGUGCUGGCCGGAGGGAUCUUCUAAGGCAAGAACGUAUAGUAGAAAAUAUAGAAUAUUUUACCAUCUAAGGAUUCAAAAAUUAUCAUUAGUAAACUUUGUUGACGUUUCUCUUGGGUGGAAGAAAUAGAUAAAGAAAAUUAAAUAAAAAUGACAGCACCUGAA